GAUGAACGCUGGCGGCGUGCCUAAUACAUGCAAGUCGAGCGAACGGACGCGUAGCUUGCUUCUCUGAUGUUAGCGGCGAACGGGUGAGUAACACGUGGAUAACCUACCUAUAAGACUGGGAUAACUUCGGGAAACCGGAGCUAAUACCGGAUAAUAUUUUGAACCGCAUGGUUCAAAAGUGAAAGACGGUCUUGCUGUCACUUAUAGAUGGAUCCGCGCUGCAUUAGCUAGUUGGUAAGGUAACGGCUUACCAAGGCAACGAGGCAUAGCCGACCUGAGAGCGUGGUCGGCCACCCGAGAACUGAGACACGGCCCAGACUCCGACGGGAGGCAGCAGUAGGGAAUCUUCCGCAAUGGGGGAAAGCCUGACGGAGCAACGCCGCGUGAGUGAUGAAGGUCUUCGGAUCGUAAAACUCUGUUAUUAGGGAAGAACAAAUGUGUAAGUAACUGUGCACAUCUUGACGGUACCUAAUCAGAAAGCCACGGCUAACUACGUG
rnacentral:rRNA from 1 species